rnacentral:rRNA from 1 species
AGCAGCCGCGGUAAUUCCAGCUCCAAUAGCGUAUAUUAAAGUUGUUGCAGUUAAAAAGCUCGUAGUUGAAUUUUGGGUCUGGCCGGGCGGUCCGCCCUCCGGGUGAGCACUGUUCCGACGUCGGGCCUAUCCUUCUGGUGAGUCGGCAUGUCCUUUGUUGGGUGUGUCGGGGAACCAGGACCAUUACCUUGAAAAAAUUAGAGUGUUCAAAGCAGGCGUAUGCUCGGAUACAUUAGCAUGGAAUAAUGAAAUAGGACGCGUGGUGCUAUUUUGUUGGUUUCUAGAACCGCCGUAAUGAUUAAGAGGGACAGACGGGGGCAUUAGUAUUGCGACGUUAGAGGUGAAAUUCUUGGAUCGUCGCAUGACUAACUACUGCGAAAGCAUUUGCCAAGAAUGUUUUCAUUAAUCAAGAACGAAAGUUAGAGGUUCGAAGGCGAUCAGAUACCGCCCUAGUCCUAACCGUAAACGAUGCCAACCAGCGAUCUGUAGGGCAUAA